AAUCAACGCUGGCGGCGUGCCUCAGACAUGCAAGUCGAACGCGAAAGUCCCCUUCGGGGGUACACGAGCGGCGAACGGGUGAGUAACACGUGGGUGACCUGCCCUCAGCUCUGGGAUAAGCCUGGGAAACUGGGUCUAAUACUGGAUAUGACUCCACGGUGCAUGUCGUGGGGUGGAAAGCCUUGUGCGGCUGAGGAUGGGCCCGCGGCCUAUCAGCUUGUUGGUGGGGGAUGGCCUACCAAGGCGACGACGGGUAGCCGGCCUGAGAGGGCGACCGGCCACACUGGGACUGAGACACGGCCCAGACUCCUACGGGAGGCAGCAGUGGGGAAUCUUGCGCAAUGGGCGAAAGCCUGACGCAGCGACGCCGCGUGAGGGAUGACGGCCU
rnacentral:rRNA from 1 species